rnacentral:rRNA from 1 species
GGGGGUCGAAAGCUCCGGGGGUGAAGGAUGAGCCCGCGGCCUAUCAGCUUGUUGGUGAGGUAAUGGCUCACCAAGGCGACGACGGGUAGCCGGCCUGAGAGGGCGACCGGCCACACUGGGACUGAGACACGGCCCAGACUCCUACGGGAGGCAGCAGUGGGGAAUAUUGCACAAUGGGGCGAAAGCCUGAUGCAGCGACGCCGCGUGAGGGAUGACGGCCUUCGGGUUGUAAACCUCUUUCAGCAGGGAAGAAGCGAAAGUGACGGUACCUGCAGAAGAAGCGCCGGCUAACUACGUGCCAGCAGCCGCGGUAAUACGUAGGGCGCAAGCGUUGUCCGGAAUUAUUGGGCGUAAAGAGCUCGUAGGCGGUCUGUCGCGUCGGAUGUGAAAGCCCGGGGGCUUAACCCCGGGUCUGCAUUCGAUACGGGCAGACUAGAGUGUGGUAGGGGAGAUCGGAAUUCCUGGUGUAGCGGUGAAAUGCGCAGAUAUCAGGAGGAACACCGGUGGCGAAGGCGGAUCUCUGGGCCAUUACUGACGCUGAGGAGCGAAAGCGUGGGGAGCGAACAGGAUUAGAUACCCUGGUAGUCCACGCCGUAAACGGUGGGAACUAGGUGUUGGCGACAUUCCACGUCGUCGGUGCCGCAGCUAACGCAUUAAGUUCCCCGCCUGGGGAGUACGGCCGCAAGGCUAAAACUCAAAGGAAUUGACGGGGGCCCGCACAAGCAGCGGAGCAUGUGGCUUAAUUCGACGCAACGCGAAGAACCUUACCAAGGCUUGACAUACACCGGAAAGCAUUAGAGAUAGUGCCCCCCUUGUGGUCGGUGUACAGGUGGUGCAUGGCUGUCCGUCAGCCUCAGUGUCGUGAGAUGUUGGGUUAAGUCCCGCAACGAGCGCAACCCUUGUUCUGUGUUGCCAGCAUGCCCUUCGGGGUGAUGGGGACUCACAGGAGACUGCCGGGGUCAACUCGGAAGGAAGGUGGGGACGACGUCAAGUCAUCAUGCCCCUUAUGUCUUGGGCUGCACACGUUGCUACAAUGGC